GAUGAACGCUAGCUACAGGCUUAACACAUGCAAGUCGCGGGGCAGCUUGGGGGUUGCUUGCAAUCCCCGAUGGCGACCGGCGCACGGGUGAGUAACGCGUAUCCAACCUGCCCUUCACCACGGGAUAACCCGGCGAAAGUCGGACUAAUACCGUAUGUUGUCCAUUGACGGCCUCCGAUUUGGACGAAAGGCUUGGCGGUGAGGGAUGGGGAUGCGUCCGAUUAGCCAGACGGCGGGGUAACGGCCCACCGUGGCUACGAUCGGUAGGGGUUCUGAGAGGAAGGUCCCCCACACUGGAACUGAGACACGGUCCAGACUCCUACGGGAGGCAGCAGUGAGGAAUAUUGGUCAAUGGGCGUAAGCCUGAACCAGCCAAGUAGCGUGCAGGAUGACGGCCCUAUGGGUUGUAAACUGCUUUUAUGCGGGGAUAAAGUGGCCCACGUGUGGGCUUUUGCAGGUACCGCAUGAAUAAGGACCGGCUAAUUCCGUG
rnacentral:rRNA from 1 species